rnacentral:lncRNA from 1 species
GCUGGACUAGUGCCGGGCAGUGGUGAAUGUAGAUCCACGGCCUCUGAGCCCACGGGCGGAGACUACAGGCAGAUGGUUGGGUAAGCGGCCUUGAGUCCUGGGUGUGCUUCCGUCUUCUCCCCCGUGUUUCCCUUGCCUCAUCCUUCGGGAUUUGCACAAAUUGCGUUACAAAAUGCCUUCUCUCGCUUCCUUCCACUUGCCCUCCCUCCUUUUUUCUCAGGAUUUGCUGAGAGCCAGGCACUGUGGUAAGCUUGUUUCCCCACCAGCACCUAAAAGCAAAACAAAUACCACACAAAAAACAACCCCAAAUACUGCUGUGUUCACCCCCUUACUUGAAAACUCCACGCUGCCUCUAAGGAUAUGUUUAGUGCUGCAGGUGCUCAUGGGUGGAGAGGGAAAGGUUGUUAACUAGUUGCUUGGGAAACAGACAUUUAUUUGUGCAGAUCUCUCUGAUGGACAAUAUUCCGGACAUCCUGUAGAAUCCUCCAGCAGAAGCUGUGGACUCAGACGGCCUUGGCUCAGAUCUCUUCUUCCACUACCAGGCUGUGGCCACCUGCAAAUUACCUUCUUCACUGAAGCCCAGGUUUCCUUAUACGUAAAAUGAUGAGGCUGUUACAGCAGGAUUAAUUUAAUAUUAGAUUAGUUAAUAUGUGUUAUUGAUUUGUUUUUGUUUUUGUUUGGC